rnacentral:rRNA from 1 species
UACGUAGGGACCAAGCGUUGUUCGGAUUUACUGGGCGUAAAGGGCGCGUAGGCGGCAAUUCAAGUCAUCUGUGAAAUCUCCGGGCUUAACCCGGAACGGUCAGGUGAUACUGUUUUGCUAGAGUGCGGAAGGGGCAAUCGGAAUUCUUGGUGUAGCGGUGAAAUGCGUAGAUAUCAAGAGGAACACCUGAGGUGAAGACGGGUUGCUGGGCCGACACUGACGCUGACAGCGCGAAAGCCAGGGGAGCAAACGGG